rnacentral:rRNA from 1 species
AUUGAACGCUGGCGGCAGGCCUAACACAUGCAAGUCGAGCGAGCGGCGGCCGGGUGAGUAAUGUAUGGGGGCUGCCCGAUAGAGGGGGAUAACUACUGUAAACGGUCGCUAAUACCGCAUACUAUCGGAUAACCCAUAUGGGAUUCGCUCGUAGGUGGGGUAAAGGCUCACCUAGGCGACGAUCUCUAGCUGGUCUGAUAGGGUGAUCGGCCACAGUGGGACGGAGACACGGCCCAGACUCCUACGGAGGCAGCAGUGGGGAAGAGUGCACAAUGGGCGCAAGCCUGAUGCAGCCAGGCCGCGUGUAUGAGGAAGGCCUUAGGGUGGUAAAGUACUUUCAGCGGGGAGGCGUUACCCGCAGAAGAAGCACCGGCUAACUCCGUGCCAGCCGCCGCGGUAAUAC